rnacentral:rRNA from 1 species
UACGUAGGGUGCGAGCGUUGUCCGGAAUUAUUGGGCGUAAAGGGCGCGUAGGCGGUUCGUUAAGUCAGUUGUGAAAGCCCGGAGCUCAACUCCGGAGAGUCGACUGAUACUGGAUGGCUUGAGUUUGGGAGAGGGAUGCGGAAUUCCAGGUGUAGCGGUGAAAUGCGUAGAUAUCGUUUGGAACGCCAAUGGUGAAAACAGGCAACUGGGGAUGUGCUGACGCUGAGGAGCGAAAGCAUGGGUAGCGAACAGG